UACAUGUGGGGCAAGCGUUGUUCGGAAUUACUGGGCGUAAAGCGCGUGUAGGCGGUUGUUCAAGUCAGGUGUGAAAGCCUUGAGCUCAACUCAAGAAAUGCACUUGAUACUGGAUGACUAGAGGACCGGAGAGGAUAGUGGAAUUCCCAGUGUAGUGGUGAAAUACGUAGAGAUUGGGAAGAACACCAGUGGCGAAGGCGGCUAUCUGGACGGUUUCUGACGCUAAGACGCGAAAGCGUGGGGAGCAAACAGG
rnacentral:rRNA from 1 species